rnacentral:rRNA from 1 species
CAGAAUUCCGCGAAUCAUCGAGUCUUUGAACGCAAGUUGCGCCCGAGGCUUGACCAAGGGCAUCCCUGCCAGAGCGUCACCGCGACACCCACCGAUCCGCUCCCGGAGUGCGACCGAGUGAAGCUGGGCCAUCCGAAUGGGGGCCACACCACCACCCGGGACUUCGUGUGCCUUGGAGGUGGGGUGGCGGAUUGGGUUGGCUGAAAUGGAGGCAAUUCGGCCGCCGUGGUGACACAGCCCGCGAUCAGGUGAUCCGGGUCUCAUCUUGGAACUACUUCUAGGUGUGGUGCUGUGUCUCCCAGUUGGUACCGAUGAGGAGGAUGAAUUCCAAAGCAGGUCCCGGACUCCCCCGCCCUGCUGCGAGGGGAGUGUCCCGAGGUGUAACGUCACGCAUCAGACCUCUGAUCAGGGAAGACCACCCGCUGAAUU